rnacentral:sRNA from 1 species
UUCGAAGCCCCACACACUCUUGCGAUCAAGCAACUCAAAGGACGAGGUCCGCAGAUCAAUGUUUAUUGGUUGGAUUUUCCAGAUGAUGGUCGUAUUCUUGAGCUGCCCCAGUCAUUUAAGAAGUUCAAGGUUCGAAAUUUCAUGGACUGGUCGUCAGAUAAUCCGCUCAUCGAUCGAUUUAUCGAUCUAAAGAGCAUGCCAUUGAAAGUCAUUGUUCUCUCUGAUCGUUACUCGCUGAAUUUGCUGGAUGUGAUUGAUCGACACGAAAUCUUAAGAACUUCUGAAGGAUUGAUGCCUCAUAUUGUUCCUCGUGAACUCUUCCAUGGCAUCGGAACACUAUCUACCGAAUUGAUUGUAGCUAAUAUCGAAGGUGUUGAAGUUUUUGAUUUUCUCAAUUUGAUUGACGCUUUGCUCCAACCAGACCGUGGAAAUGGAGCAGACCGUAGUUUCAUCACUGAGGAUGCCGAUUUGAUCGCGAAUUUAUUCAAAGCAUUCACUCUUUUGGCAGAAGGAAAAGAUCGUGCGAUUUCUGAAUAUGAAGAGGGAGAAGAUGAAUGUUUUAGAAGAUAUAGAGCUGAGUAUACCAAAUGCGAUGAAUUUCCAAAUGAAAUCGGAUUCUGGUUCAACGAUUAUAUGGUCAUUCAUGCUGAUGCUAAGAAAACGGAAAACAAAUUUAACGUGUGGAUAUCGCUUUCAAAGCUGAAAAAUGUUUACUUGAACUGUUGAUCAAAUAUUUCUAGGUUUUUCGAAUAAAUCGUUAUUUCUGUAUUAUUAAUAGUAUACUUUAACUAAUUUAAGUUGGCGUCGCACAGGAUUCACGAACCUUGGCGGUUUAUGGGUCGCUCAUGCACAAUAUUUUCUUUGCUCCUGGAAAAACGAAGAAACACGUAAAAAUAUCGAUUAAUCUCAAAUUUCGAAGUAAAAUGGGUACCGUAUUCGAAUUAAAGGCGCAUGCACAAAAACUGCCGAGGUUUCACAACGAAAACCAUCAAAAUCGCAGCUUUAAGCAGUGAAUUAUUGACGCACGACAUUGUAAAAUAUUCAAGAAUAAAAUUAUAAUAUAAAAUGCCGGAAAUGAGAAAUGCUGAAAAAAUGCACGCCGAGUUUACUGUAAAUUUGAAGGGACACGCAGACAUCUUGCUGCAUGGGUCUCGCCGCGAUGGGUUCAACCGUAGUUUUAUUUCAAUUUUUGUUUUUUUUUUCGAGUUUUAACUGUAUUUUUUCAUAUUUUUCUUGCGAAAUUUUAAGAAAUUACCAAUUACAUUAAUAAAUUCAGAUUUCUGCUAAGAUGAACUCAAAUCCCAUCACCUAUCCAUCCAUGCAAUGCAUUAUCAAACACUUGGAGGCGAAUAAAAGGUAAAUAACACAAACAGUUUUAGUAACCAAAGCAACACGUAAUUUUCAGAUUCCAACUUGUCGCACAAUGCUCAUCACUUGUAAAGGUCGAAAAAUCACAACCACUAGUUAUAAAGAAGCUGAUUUUCAAUCGUAGGACAAUCUCUUUCAAUGGAGUGAAAUAUAAACUUGGUGCCAAGAACAAGG